CCUGGUGGCUCAGAUGUAAAGAAUCUGCCUGCAAUGCAGGAGACCCAGGUUCAAUCCCUGGGUCAGGA
rnacentral:tRNA from 1 species